CAGUCGCCACGGUAAUACGUAGGGUGCAAGCGUUAAUCGGAAUUACUGGGCGUAAAGCGUGCGUAGGCGGUUUGUUAAGUCUGCUGUGAAAUCCCCGGGCUCAACCUGGGAAUGGCAGUGGAUACUGGCAAGCUAGAGUGUGUCAGAGGAUGGUGGAAUUCCCGGUGUAGCGGUGAAAUGCGUAGAGAUCGGGAGGAACAUCAGUGGCGAAGGCGGCCAUCUGGGACAACACUGACGCUGAGGCACGAAAGCGUGGGGAGCAAACAGGAUUAGAUACCCCGGUAGUCCCUGUCUCUUAUAC
rnacentral:rRNA from 1 species